GACGAACGCUGGCGGCGUGCCUAAUACAUGCAAGUAGAACGCUGAAGAGAGGAGCUUGCUCUUCUUGGAUGAGUUGCGAACGGGUGAGUAACGCGUAGGUAACCUGCCUUGUAGCGGGGGAUAACUAUUGGAAACGAUAGCUAAUACCGCAUAACAAUGGAUGACACAUGUCAUUUAUUUGAAAGGGGCAAUUGCUCCACUACAAGAUGGACCUGCGUUGUAUUAGCUAGUAGGUGAGGUAAUGGCUCACCUAGGCGACGAUACAUAGCCGACCUGAGAGGGUGAUCGGCCACACUGGGACUGAGACACGGCCCAGACUCCUACGGGAGGCAGCAGUAGGGAAUCUUCGGCAAUGGGGGCAACCCUGACCGAGCAACGCCGCGUGAGUGAAGAAGGUUUUCGGAUCGUAAAGCUCUGUUGUAAGUCAAGAACGGGUGUGAGAGUGGAAAGUUCACACUGGGAGGGGAGAGUACCAGAAGGGACGGCUAACUACGUG
rnacentral:rRNA from 1 species